rnacentral:lncRNA from 1 species
UCUGUCAUAUUCUCAGAGGUGCAGUUACUGCACCCUGCCCCUUCCUCCCAGGGUUCUGGACCUUUCCUCCUGUAAGAAGCUGAGGGCUGCAAUCAUGGGUUUGGAUCAGGACAUAGUAGGCUCAGAGACCAAACACUUGGCACCUGAAAUGACAACAGACAAAUCAGAAUAA